rnacentral:hammerhead_ribozyme from 1 species
AAGCGAAACCUGUCCGGUUGAUCCGGGCAGGUCUAUCCAGCGUGGUGGCUGGGUACUGAUGAGCAGCCAUAA